UACAGAGGGGGCAAGCGUUGUUCGGAAUUACUGGGCGUAAAGGGCGCGUAGGCGGCCAUUUAAGUCAGACGUGAAAUCCCCGGGCUCAACCCGGGAACUGCGUCUGAUACUGGAUGGCUUGAAUCCGGGAGAGGGAUGUGGAAUUCCAGGUGUAGCGGUGAAAUGCGUAGAUAUCUGGAGGAACACCGGUGGCGAAGGCGGCAUCCUGGACCGGUAUUGACGCUGAGGCGCGAAAGCCAGGGGAGCAAACGGG
rnacentral:rRNA from 1 species